GUUAAAGCCAUUCAUAUAUAAGUCAGAUGGCCCUUUUAUUUGGAGAGAGUCUGGGAUUUGCAGCCUGGAGAGUUGCUGAGGCUUCGAAAAAUGACAAGUAUCAGUACACAUACUUCGGACACAAGAUAAACAGUUUCAAUAGUGCUCCCAACAAAGUUCUGGCUUCUAACUCUCAUUUACGUCCCAAUAGAUAUGCACUUGAGCAGGGUGACCACCCUAAAGCUGGUGCUAAAAAGAGCAGGUUUCUCUUCUUCUUUUUCUUCUUCUUGACUUUAGAUGUGAUGUUUUAAUUUGGCAUUAGUUGGUACAUGAAAAAAAAUGAAUUUUAAUUCUUGUUUGUGCCUGCUUUUGGUGUUGGUUAUGGUUAAUUUAGUUCUGUGCAGCUUGCAGAGGAUUGGCUUUUGUUGACAUUGUGUUGUUCAUUUCAUGGCGGUUUCUUUACUUGGGUUCUGUUGCUGAGAAUAGAGGACGAGCACUUCAUGUUUCUGAACUUGAGGAGUUGUUGAGUGGUUGCACUGAGUUAGAAGUGAGCUUCAUAGUCUUCAAUCAUCAGUAGACCCUUAAUGCAAAUAUUGCAUAAAUUGAUUAAUUACAAAUCCAUUGUGUAA